ACCAUUUCUGGCCCCACUAGGCUGUGUCCUUCAGUCCCACAGCUUAGACAAACAAAAAUAACAUGGGCGUUUCUUCGACGCUUAACCAGCUUUGUCGAACACAGAAAAGUGCCCCUCCAAUCGGUUCAGCUGCAGCUAGCUUGGCUACCAACUUCUCUCUCAGUACUCUUUACACACUUAAGUAGGUGACCAAUGCAGAGUUCAAAACAAGCCAGCUUCAAUAUUUAAAAAACAGAGAGGGUUUACAGUAGACUUACCUUUUAUAACAUUACUAAAAAUCGUGGCUUUGAAUUCUUCUUUGGCCUUCUGAUCGAAGUCCUGCCCAUGGAUAAUGCGCAUCUGCUUGAGAAAAGUGGACUUGCCGCUCUCGCCUGCUCCAAAUUUCCGCAACUGUUCUACCUCGCCGCUUGUGAGGAGACAAUUGGGGAAGCAUACAGAUAAGAAGGAGCGGGACGGCAGGAAAUCCGCCAUCUUUGAAACAACUUCAUCGAUACAGACAGCGAGGAGGGCUGAGCUCACCCAAGUCCGCUGUUGCAUUCAAGUGUCGUAGGAAACCAAUUGAAUGUAACUUCCACCUCAACUGUCAAGGGAGCAGUUUAACCAUUGAUAUCCAGUCUGUACUGAAAUGAAGCAGGACAUUCAGAUUUGCCAAAAAUAAUGUGGUUCACUGGCAAAUGCUGCGUUGGACAUUUCUUAAAUAAAUUGAAUUGUGGCGACACUCA